AGAACGAACGCUGGCGGCAGGCCUAAAACAAUGCAAGUCGAACGCUCUAGCAAUAGAGAGUGGCGCACGGGUGCGUAACAUGUGGGAUAUGCCUUUUGGUACGGAACAACUUUUGGAAACGAAAGCUAAUACCGUAUGGUCCCUUCGGGGUAAAGAUUUAUCGCCAAAAGAGUAGCCCGCACUGGAUUAGCUAGUUGGUGAGGUAAUGGCUCACCAAGGCGACGAUCCAUAGCUGGUCUGAGAGGACGAUCAGCCACACUGGGACUGAGACACGGCCCAGACUCCUACGGGAGGCAGCAGUUAGGAUCUUGGACAUGGGCGCAAGCCUGAUCCAGCCAUGCCGCGUGAGUGAUGAAGGCCUUCGGGUUGUAAAGCUCUUUUAGCCACGAAUAUAAUGACUGUAGUGGAAGAAUAACGCCCCGGCUAACUUCGUGCCAGCAGCCG
rnacentral:rRNA from 1 species